rnacentral:lncRNA from 1 species
UCGGGUAUAUUUUUACCUCGAUGAGGAGGCUCGUAGGGUAACUCCUGAGGUAAAACUUUAGAGUUCACUUCAUGCCAAACGACCACGUGAGGGUGAACUCAGCCAACGCCAAGGAACGGCUAUGUUUUCAAAUAAAAACAUGAUUUAUGUGUUAAUUAGUUAAGGAGAGAGUUAAUCAAUUAAAGAAAGUCUACUGAAGUAUAGAAGCCUGAAGACAGAGAUCCCUUAAUCAGUUAACGCAGAGUACACAGCAACAAGAUAGUGCAAGACAGAGAAGUUAUAAUUGGUUAGAGUUGCUUGUAAUCAGUUAGCCGAACUCUAUUUACCCUUUUGAAUUUAAACACUAGAAAACAAAAUAACGACUAAAAUGGCAUCAGAGUUGUCCUUAAUAGCUAGAAUUUAUCUUGAAUAGCAAAAUCAGCCUCCCAAAGUGUAAAAGGAAGCUCCAAUGAUCACAAAAAUGAGAUUGAAUGAGAAAAAAGCCAUUUUGAGUAAAAAGCCAAAUAUCUUUCACAAUAAACACUUGUUCUUCGCUCUUAUUGUAGAAAAAGUGUUUGAACUUGCUUGUAAUCUAUCCAGAUUUGUAAAGACUUCUAGUUGUACUUCUUUAUCUUCUUUUUCUUCUUUUUCUUGGGUAUUUAGAGUGUGGGAAACACUUUAAAAGGUCAUGGUAAGGGAAUAGAGCAUGGGUUAGAAGCUCAAAUUGUAAAAGUUUGGUGGAAGCCUUUAAUUCCAUAGGUAUAGUGAAGUUGGGUUGAAAAUCCUUGAUUAGAUCAAGGUAGUGGAUGUAGGUCAAGGGGACUGAACCACUAUAAAUACUCUUGCAUUGUGCACUUUUCUCU